AAAAAAAAGAACCAUGGAAGAGUGCCAUAUUAAAAAACUCCAGCAUUUGCAAAUAGCUAUUACAGUCCGUAAUGUUGCAGCAUGUUUUUAAAAUAGCUGUUUUAGGACAUGCAUGCUAAUAUCAGUCUGUUGGUCUUAGAAAGAUACUAUUAAAUAGUCAUCAUCCUGUCGUCUACAUUAUAGGUUAUGUGGAUUGUAAAACAAGUUAUACGAGAGAUCAUGAAACUAUAGAACCUCAAAGGAACCACUGUGUUUUUUCUGCUGGUGUAUGGAUCCCCUUUCUCCGUGGAUCACAUGAAAGUGUUCUAUUAAUGUGAAUUGGCUUAUGUUUGAGAACACUAUGCUGGAGAGCUAUGAAGUGUAAGGAAUCUGACCCAGGGAUCUGCAGGGCUGUGACACAUCAGUUCUUUACAGGAAUUCUCAGUUGCUGGUUGAGAAUAACACAAGAUAGGUCCGGUACACGGCGUGCAGUCUGCUGUCAUUGUUGAUGUUAGUAAACCUUCUGCCUAAGGCAGUGAGACAAGUUCUGUGAUACAGCACCGUAACUGGAAUUUUCCCCUCUGGCAGUCACUCCAGAACUGUAAGUACCAAGUGUCAGGCUGCCUCUCCACCCAUCUAACUCAGUAAGUUGGGAAAACUAUUCACCACUAAAGCACACAAAGCCACAGCAUGGCUGGAAGCAAUAGCUGCAUCAAGAAAAACACUGCAAGUCAGCACUGCUCUGCAUAUUUCCUGAGGAAUGCUUCGCUGGAGUUCAGAACAAACAUUCGAGGUCUGGGAUUGCUACGAGAGUACCUGGCAGAAGAAAAGUCUCCUACCACCAUUCCGUUCUAAACCUCUUUGCCAGUGUUUAGUCUUCUCUGAUCCACACACUUGGCAAAGAGGGAAAGCAGCCCGUCUCUUCCCACUGCGGAUAAGAUGGAUCUCUCAGCCCUUGUCUGAAUGCAGUAGUUGAAGACAGACGCACAACUGGGUUUUCUUUUGCUCCAGAGGGAGUAAGCCUGACCUAUUUUACACACAAUUGGAACAUUACCUUCGUGAUUCUUUUAGGAAAAAUACAUGCCGCUGCAGUAUAGAUGACUUAACUAUAAAAUCCCAUACCAGGGGUGGGAGAGAAAAGAAAGGAAAUCCACACCAAACACCAAAAUGGCUUUAAGUAGAACAUAUCUUCUGUUCCACUCCUCUGAAAGAUCCUCCCUUGGAAUAUUUCAGACAGGAAAAAGUUGUUCCUUUCUUCAUAGAUUAAGUUACAUGCCUUUAACCACAUGUAAUAAAAACAUAAUGAAUUCAGUGCAACAUGUGAAGAAAUGACUGAAUUGUUAGCAUAAAGCCAAUCACAGAAGCACUUAGGUUUAACAUCACUGUUUGCAUAGUGUUGGCCACGUCUGAAAGAUGAUAACUGCCAGAGACUGCCAUAAGGAAAAGGGAAUUCCUAUGGAUUUUCUGAAGAAGAGAGAAGUUACUGCCAUAUCAGAAGUUCAGUGUCCAAAUAACUGCAUACAGUUAUGCACAGUGUUGUGGUCACAACUCCACAGAGCACUAACUGCCUUUUCAUCGUUGUUGCUGCAAAAACACGCUCUUCAUUUGAUUUUAAUUCCUUCAUUUCUCCGUUAGAAAGGCAUUGGCCAGACCACCAAGGCAGCAGCAGUCUGGCUAUUCUCCACUCUGAUGCAUCAUUGAUGUAUGUAUGUAUUUCUUGAUCCUGCUUUCAAAGUUCUGUUUUGCAUUUUUUUCUUUUUAAAUAAAUUACUCUGAGUAUAAUGAGAAAGUGGAAAGCAUUGGGCAUUUUAGUCUGUGCCAAGCAAGACUCUCACAUGUUAAUGGAGCUACACUGUGUUGGUCUUUCACUUAAAGAAACCUUCCAAAUCAAUGAAGAGUUCCCGAUGCCAAAAAAGGUUUCAUCCUGUCUGCUUUCUCCCCGACAUCACAGCAGGUUGGGUCCCACAUGUUUUGCAGAGUUCUAUUAAUAAUUGUUCCUCUGAAAAUACCUUCUUGCACUGGCACCACGUAUGCUGUGAUUUGAUGGGCUGUAACCUAACCCACUGUGCUGGAAGGAUAUCUGGUGCCAGAUUUUUACCUCUCAUAGGAUUAUCUAUAAAAAUCUCCUGCAAGAACCUUGUGUAUAAUGUACAAAUGCACUUCUACAUUAAUAAAAUUCUUUUUAUUAAUAUUA